GGCUGUUGAGGGUGAUCUGGCUGACAUCUGUCACCCCAUUGAUCCUCAGGGUUGAUUUGGCUGAUCUGGCUAGCUAGGCAGGUGUCCCCUUCCUUCCUCACUGUUCUGUAUUCAACCCUCCCAAAGCUGUGUGCUCGGUCAAAGAGGAGGAUGACUUCCCCAAAUAGAAGAGGACCAGUCUUCUGUCAAGGGCAUAUGAGUAGGUAACAAGCUUUCAAGGUCCAUUUGUAGGAGAACAUAGUGUAGUCAAGCUUCCAAGACUCCAGACACAUCCAAAUGAGGCGCUGCAUGUGGCAGUCUGCCUUUGUUU
rnacentral:snRNA from 1 species